rnacentral:rRNA from 1 species
AUUGAACGCUGGCGGCAGGCCUAACACAUGCAAGUCGAACGGUAACAGGAAGAAGCUUGCUUCUUUGCUGACGAGUGGCGGACGGGUGAGUAAUGUCUGGGAAACUGCCUGAUGGAGGGGGAUAACUACUGGAAACGGUAGCUAAUACCGCAUAACGUCGCAAGACCAAAGAGGGGGACCUUCGGGCCUCUUGCCAUCGGAUGUGCCCAGAUGGGAUUAGCUAGUAGGUGGGGUAACGGCUCACCUAGGCGACGAUCCCUAGCUGGUCUGAGAGGAUGACCAGCCACACUGGAACUGAGACACGGUCCAGACUCCUACGGGAGGCAGCAGUGGGGAAUAUUGCACAAUGGGCGCAAGCCUGAUGCAGCCAUGCCGCGUGUAUGAAGAAGGCCUUCGGGUUGUAAAGUACUUUCAGCGGGGAGGAAGGGAGUAAAGUUAAUACCUUUGCUCAUUGACGUUACCCGCAGAAGAAGCACCGGCUAACUCCGUGCCAGCAGCCGCGGUAAUACGGAGGGUGCAAGCGUUAAUCGGAAUUACUGGGCGUAAAGCGCACGCAGGCGGUUUGUUAAGUCAGAUGUGAAAUCCCCGGGCUCAACCUGGGAACUGCAUCUGAUACUGGCAAGCUUGAGUCUCGUAGAGGGGGGUAGAAUUCCAGGUGUAGCGGUGAAAUGCGUAGAGAUCUGGAGGAAUACCGGUGGCGAAGGCGGCCCCCUGGACGAAGACUGACGCUCAGGUGCGAAAGCGUGGGGAGCAAACAGGAUUAGAUACCCUGGUAGUCCACGCCGUAAACGAUGUCGACUUGGAGGUUGUGCCCUUGAGGCGUGGCUUCCGGAGCUAACGCGUUAAGUCGACCGCCUGGGAGUACGGCCGCAAGGUAAAACUCAAAUGAAUUGACGGGGGCCCGCACAAGCGGUGGAGCAUGUGGUUUAAUUCGAUGCAACGCGAAGAACCUUACCUGGUCUUGACAUCCACGGAAGUUUUCAGAGAUGAGAAUGUGCCUUCGGGAACCGUGAGACAGGUGCUGCAUGGCUGUCGUCAGCUCGUGUUGUGAAAUGUUGGGUUAAGUCCCGCAACGAGCGCAACCCUUAUCCUUUGUUGCCAGCGGUCCGGCCGGGAACUCAAAGGAGACUGCCAGUGAUAAACUGGAGGAAGGUGGGGAUGACGUCAAGUCAUCAUGGCCCUUACGACCAGGGCUACACACGUGCUACAAUGGCGCAUACAAAGAGAAGCGACCUCGCGAGAGCAAGCGGACCUCAUAAAGUGCGUCGUAGUCCGGAUUGGAGUCUGCAACUCGACUCCAUGAAGUCGGAAUCGCUAGUAAUCGUGGAUCAGUAUGCCACGGUGAAUACGUUCCCGGGCCUUGUACACACCGCCCGUCACACCAUGGGAGUGGGUUGCAAAAGAAGUAGGUAGCUUAACCUUCGGGAGGGCGCUUACCACUUUGUGAUUCAUGACUGGGGUGAAGU